GACGAACGCUGGCGGCGUGCCUAAUACAUGCAAGUAGAACGCACAGUUUAUACCGUAGCUUGCUACACCAUAGACUGUGAGUUGCGAACGGGUGAGUAACGCGUAGGUAACCUGCCUGGUAGCGGGGGAUAACUAUUGGAAACGAUAGCUAAUACCGCAUAAUAUUGAUUAUUGCAUGAUAAUUGAUAGAAAGAUGCUAUUGCAUCACUACCAGAUGGACCUGCGUUGUAUUAGCUAGUAGGUGAGGUAACGGCUCACCUAGGCGACGAUACAUAGCCGACCUGAGAGGGUGAUCGGCCACACUGGGACUGAGACACGGCCCAGACUCCUACGGGAGGCAGCAGUAGGGAAUCUUCGGCAAUAGACGAAAGUCUGACCGAGCAACGCCGCGUGAGUGAAGAAGGUUUUCGGAUCGUAAAGCUCUGUUGUAAGAGAAGAACGGGUGUGAGAGUGGAAAGUUCACACUGUGACGGUAUCUUACCAGAAAGGGACGGCUAACUACGUG
rnacentral:rRNA from 1 species